GGGUGGGGUCACGAGCAGGGAGAGGCGGAGGAGGAAAAAGGCAGAGAGAGAGAGCCCAGCCCUUGAAUACACGGCAACAACACCGCCGUCAGAGAGACAGAGACACAGAGACACACAGACUCCGAGAGACCGGCUGUUUUUUGGGGGGAGCAACGGGAGCCUUCGACGCUGCGGAUAUGAACUGAAAAGCAACACUGGAAGAGGCAGGGAUCGUGUUUCCUGGACCCCCCCUAACCGCCCCCCUCCCUGGAUUUGACUGUGAAAAGGUGGAAAACUAGCCCCCCAACCCUCCAAAACAACCCCCCCCCCUAUCUCCCUCCCUCCACCAGUUCGUAUUCAGAUAGAGCUACACCCAAAAGCCCCCGACCGAACCCCCUCCUGCUCUUGCUGCUCCACCCCUCCGCCGCUGCACCGCUCCGGCAACCGAGAUGCACACGGAGACCCGUAACAAGAAAGCUGGAAUCCGCUGGGUCACGUGGUCACAUGGUGGCCUGCAACAGACUUUGGGCUGACCUGGAUUUGGCUCGGCGGCGCUUCUCUCUGCACCGGAUUCCCCCUAAAGAAAGAAAAGGGUCCAUUCCCAGGUCGAUGAACGAAGUUACAGUGAGUAUAUUUACCCGAGGACUGAAUACGCAACUCGGCCUUCAAUGCCUUCAAAUAUGUGAGGAGCUGUUAAUGACGCUGCUAUUAAUGCGGAUGUCACACUCUUUGUGUUCCCACUAGAAGCAGAUCUCGUUUUGUGUAUUUGAGCCUCUGUCUCGCCGCGAGGAAGCGGGUGUGAAGUCACUUCCUGUCUGCUUCUUUGCCCACACAAGGUGACGCGAUUUGAAAAUGAAACCAAAACUGCGUCAAAGACUCAAAGAGAUGCCAAACUUUCCAUUUCGUCUCAAACGUAUUAAAAGUCGGCCCGUUUGAAGAGGAAGGAAACUUGUCAGAAGGGAAGUCAUCUUCCACCCGCGGAGCGUGUAGAUCGGCAGCGUUCAAAGCGAGGGUCGCGGCCCUCUGGGGGGGUCAGCGGAAAACUGACAAAGACGGACAGACCCGCUCCCGUCCUCCGUCUGACGCAUCUGCGUUUUUGUUCCCGUGGGGAUUCAAUCGCAACUCCUCCGGGUUCAAUAAAAGGCCAAACGCGCCACCCGAGCCCGCGUCACUGAUAGCGGCAGCGCUCAGGUUAUCACGCGUGGCGUUCAGCUGAAACGCCGCCGGCGGUCGAGGUAGAUGAUCUACUCAACCGCUCUAAACACCCCCGCCCCCCUCCCCCUCGCUGAUGGUUCAUCUAUUACCACGUUGCUUUGCCGUCUCAGCGGCAGCUCAGACGGCGCAGAGACGCGAGCGAGAGGAAGUGGACACGCAGGGAAAAUGGAGGCCCGAGAAGAAGAGACGGGGGUGUGUGCAGCGCGGGAAGUGUGCGUGCGCGUUGUGCACUCCCCACACCUCUCGCUCUCUCUCUCUCUCUCUCCUCUGUGUGUGUGUGUGUGUGUCUCUCGCUCAGCUUCCACAGAAGGGUGUGUCCGCCUGCCGGCUGUGAAAAGGAGGGAGGGGUCAGUCGGCGGCUACUCCUCCCUGCUCUCUCUGUUAUUUCUCUCUCGCUCUCAUUCCCUCACUGGCAGCCGCAGGAUCGGGCCUUUGUCUCUCGGGCCUCCCCGGCCUCUCGUUGCCUUUUCACUAUUUCUAUUUUCCGGGUUUGUUUUUGCAGGAUGUGUGUGUGUUGCGUCCCCCCUCCUCCCCCGGGGGAUUUGUGAGAGAGGGUUUUUUUUUUUUUUUCUUUAGCCGGCGUUGAGAUCCGGAGGUAAUUUCUCCCUCCUCCAAACUCCGUAAUGCCGUUUCCUGUCGUACUUCCUCUCCUACCUGUCUUCCUUUUCGCAUUUUCCUCCCCGCUGCCCACUUCACCCCUCAUUCCUUCUCCAGAUUCCUCCCCCCAUCACCCC
ensembl:lncRNA